rnacentral:rRNA from 1 species
CCUACGGGAGACAGCAGUGGGGGAUAUUGCACAAUGGGGGAAACCCUGAUGCAGCGACGCCGCGUGGGUGAAGAAGCGCCUCGGCGCGUAAAGCCCUGUCAGCAGGGAAGAAAAUGACGGUACCUGAAGAAGAAGCCCCGGCUAACUACGUGCCAACAGCCGCGGUAAUACGUAGGGGGCAAGCGUUAUCCGGAUUUACUGGGUGUAAAGGGGGCGCAGACGGCGAUGCAAGCCAGGAGUGAAAGCCCGGGGCCCAACCCCGGGACUGCUCUUGGAACUGCGUGGCGAGAGUGCAGGAGGGGCAGGCGGAAUGCCUGGUGUAGCGGUGAAAUGCGUAGAUAUCAGGAGGAACACCGGUGGCGAAGGCGGCCUGCUGGACUGCAACUGACGUUGAGGCCCGAAAGCGUGGGGAGCAAACAGGAUUAGAUACCCCAGUAGUC